AUUGAACGCUGGCGGCAGGCCUAACACAUGCAAGUCGGGCGAGCGGCGGACGGGUGAGUAAUGUAUGGGGAUCUGCCUGAUGGCGGGGGAUAACUACUGGAAACGGUAGCUAAUACCGCAUACCAUCAGAUGAACCCAUAUGGGAUUGGCUAGUAGGUAAGGUAACGGCUUACCUAGGCGACGAUCCCUAGCUGGUCUGAGAGGAUGAUCAGCCACGCUGGGAGUGCGACACGGCCCAGAGUGCUACGAGAGGCAGCAGUGGGGAAUAUGGCACAAUGCGCGUGAGCCUGAUGCGGGCAUACCGCGUGGGGGAUGAAGUCUUUCGGGUUGUAAACCUCUUUCGCUAUCGAACGGGUACGUGGAGAAGAAGCGCCGGCUAACUACGUGCCAGCAGCCGCGGUAAUAC
rnacentral:rRNA from 1 species